rnacentral:rRNA from 1 species
CAGUGGAGUAUGUGGUUUAAUUCGAAGCAACGCGAAGAACCUUACCAGGUCUUGACAUCCCCCUGAAUCACCUAGAGAUAGGUGCGGCCUUCGGGACAGGGGAGACAGGUGGUGCAUGGUUGUCGUCAGCUCGUGUCGUGAGAUGUUGGGUUAAGUCCCGCAACGAGCGCAACCCUUGAAUUCAGUUGCCAGCACCUCGGGUGGGCACUCUGAAUUGACUGCCGGUGACAAACCGGAGGAAGGCGGGGAUGACGUCAAAUCAUCAUGCCCCUUAUGACCUGGGCUACACACGUACUACAAUGGCCGGUACAACGGGCCGCGUAGCCGCGUGGCGGAGCCAAUCCUUAAAAGGCCGGUCUCAGUUCGAAUUGCAGGCUGCAACUCGCCUGCAUGAAGUCGGAAUUGCUAGUAAUCGCGGAUCAGCAUGCCGCGGUGAAUACGUUCCCGGGUCUUGUACACACCGCCCGUCACACCACGAGAGUUUACAACACCCGAAGUCGGUGGGGUAACCCGCAAGGGAGCCAGCCGCCGAAGGUGGGGUGGAUGAUUGGGGUGAAGUCGUAACAAGGUAACCGU